rnacentral:rRNA from 1 species
UACGGAGGGGGCUAGCGUUGUUCGGAAUUACUGGGCGUAAAGAGCGCGUAGGCGGCUUACCAAGUUGGGGGUGAAAUCCCGGAGCUCAACACCGGAACUGCCUUCAAAACUGGUAGGCUCGAGUCCGGAAGAGGGGCGUGGAAUUCCCAGUGUAGAGGUGAAAUUCGUAGAUAUUGGGAAGAACACCGGUGGCGAAGGCGGCGCCCUGGUCCGGUACUGACGAUGAGGCGCGAAAGCGUGGGGAGCAAACAGG